rnacentral:lncRNA from 1 species
UGCUGGCAUGGUCGUGCACGGUAUGGUAUGGACGGUCGUGCCCGGUCCAGUCAGGUUGGAUCGGGAACGUAUGUAUGGAAUAUGUGGCAUACAUGCGGAUGGGCGAACAUUGGUAACAACAUGGAAGAAUAUGUUACAGCUUCACAGACGAUGCGUACGCUGCAUACGACUGCCUAGACGCUGACGUUCGCCACACAAGUACGCAGGUCUAUCAGUAGGGCAGGUAUGCCGUGCAAUAUGUGCAGAGGCGUGCGGGAGAUAUUGCCGCCACGUUGCGUGGCCGUGUUGGUGUUCGGUGCGUUGGUCAUAACUGCCAACGUCAUGGCGGCGGUGGGGGUUGGGCAGGAUCGUCCGCUGCAGCAGUUUAGGCGCACGGCUUGCUUUUGGUUUGAUACCUUCGUAGGCCAGGAAUGCCGAGGAAUGCAUGACAUACGAAGAUAUCACACCGAUGUGAUAUUUUCGUACGCCAGUAAUAUUCCGGCCUUCAUGGCCUACGAAGAUAUCAAGCCGAAGGCGAGCCGUGGAGGCGAACUGCUACAGCAGACAAUCCUGUCCAGCCGCCACCGCCGCCAUGACGCUGGCAACGAUGCUGACGACCAACACACCGAACACCAACACGGCCAAGCAACGUGGAAGCAAUAGUUGGUGUGCAGAGGCGAUGUCGCUUCCAACGGCGCUCGUAUGCUGGAUAGGGUAUGGGUGGUGGAGAGGAACGGCCCGAGUCGGCACUCGGACAGCAACAUCGUCAAACAGAUUCUGAGUUUGCGUGGCCUCAG